CCUACGGGAGGCUGCAGUGGGGAAUAUUGCACAAUGGGCGCAAGCCUGAUGCAGCCAUGCCGCGUGUGUGAAGAAGGCCUUCGGGUUGUAAAGCACUUUCAGCGGGGAGGAAGGCGUUAAGGUUAAUAACCUUGGCGAUUGACGUUACCCGCAGAAGAAGCACCGGCUAACUCCGUGCCAGCAGCCGCGGUAAUACGGAGGGUGCAAGCGUUAAUCGGAAUUACUGGGCGUAAAGCGCACGCAGGCGGUCUGUCAAGUCGGAUGUGAAAUCCCCGGGCUCAACCUGGGAACUGCAUUCGAAACUGGCAGGCUAGAGUCUGGUAGAGGGGGGUAGAAUUCCAGGUGUAGCGGUGAAAUGCGUAGAGAUCUGGAGGAAUACCGGUGGCGAAGGCGGCCCCCUGGACAAAGACUGACGCUCAGGUGCGAAAGCGUGGGGAGCAAACAGGAUUAGAUACCCGUGUAGUC
rnacentral:rRNA from 1 species